GAUGAACGCUAGCGGCAGGCUUAAUACAUGCAAGUCGAGGGGUAGCAAGAUUGUAGCAAUACAAUUGUUGACGACCGGCAAACGGGUGCGGAACACGUACACAACCUUCCUACAAGUGGGGAAUAGCCCAGAGAAAUUUGGAUUAACACCCCGUAACAUAGCGAUGUGGCAUCACAUUGCUAUUAUAGCUUCGGCGCUUGUUGAUGGGUGUGCGGCUGAUUAGAUAGUUGGCGGGGUAACGGCCCACCAAGUCUACGAUCAGUAGCUGAUGUGAGAGCAUGAUCAGCCACACGGGCACUGAGACACGGGCCCGACUCCUACGGGAGGCAGCAGUAAGGAAUACUGGACAAUGGACGCAAGUCUGAUCCAGCCAUGCCGCGUGAAGGAUUAAGGUCCUCUGGAUUGUAAACUUCUUUUAUAAGGGACGAAAAAAGGUCUUUCUAGAUCGUCUGACGGUACCUUAUGAAUAAGCACCGGCUAACUCCGUGCCAGCAGCCGCCGCAGUAA
rnacentral:rRNA from 1 species